GGUCGGGGGAGAGACUCAUUAUUUGACGAUGUUAGCAAUCAUUAACAACGUACCUAUCAUCGUAGGCGAAGUCUGCAUCAAGGGUGUUGAGGUAGAGACACAGGGAGACGAGACACGCUGCUAAUACCGGUCCAGCGAGUCAACACAAUGAAGUACUAGUAUCCGGUGAUGGAUGUCUGGAGGAGCUUUCUGCUGACAGUAACACACUGGUUACAAUGUGCGUCCUGUCAAAGGACGAGGAAGUGAAAAGCCAUAUUCAUUCAAUCAACAAAUGUGCUUCCUGUCACAUUUCACUCAAAUAGGACGAGGAAGUGAAAAGCCUUAUUCACUCACAAAACAACAUGGCCAAUAUUAAUCAGACACUAAAAAAGCACAUUGUACCAUUUGUUUACAAGCAAGAAAAUUAUUUUCUCCUGGAAUUUAAUUAGGUGCUUUUGACUAACAAUGACACCUGGUCCAUGUUAAGUUUGGAAAACUUAUAUUGUGAGAAAUAAAGACAUGAAAAUUA